rnacentral:rRNA from 1 species
GGUGUUGGCUAACUGGCAGUUCGACGGAAGUACUUUCGGGUACUUUAGUGGCGAACGGGUGAGUAAUACAUAGGUAACCUACCCUUAAGACGAGGAUAGCCAUUGGAAACGAUGGAUAAAACUGGAUAGGAUAUAGAGGAAGAAUCUUUUAUAUUUAAAAGAGAGAUCUGCUUAAGGAGGGGCCUGUGGCGCAUUAGCUAGUUGGUGGGGUAAGGGCCUACCAAGGCGAUGAUGCGUAGCCGGACUGAGAGGUUGAACGGCCACAAUGGAACUGAGAACGGUCCAUACUCCUACGGGAGGCAGCAGUAGGGAAUUUUCGGCAAUGGGGGGAACCCUGACCGAGCAACGCCGCGUGAACGAAGAAGUUAUUCGUAAUGUAAAGUUCUUUUAUCAGGGAAGAAAGGGGAAUUUGACGGUACCUGAGGAAUAAGCUCCGGCUAACUACGUGCCAGCAGCCGCGGUAAUACGUAGGGAGCGAGCGUUAUCCGGAAUUAUUGGGCGUAAAGGGUGCGUAGAUGGCAUAGUAAGUCUUUUGUAAAAAUGCUGGGCUCAACCCAGUAGGGCAAAAGAUACUGCAAAGCUAGAGUAUGACAGAGGCAAGUGGAACUACAUGUGUAGCGGUAAAAUGCGUAAAUAUAUGUAAGAACACCAGUGGCGAAGGCGGCUUGCUGGGUCGAUACUGACAUUGAGGCACGAAAGCGUGGGGAGCAAACAGGAUUAGAUACCCUGGUAGUCCACGCCCUAAACGAUGAGUACUAAGUGUUGGUGAGAAUCAGUGCUGAAGUUAACGCAUUAAGUACUCCGCCUGAGUAGUACGUACGCAAGUAUGAAACUUAAAGGAAUUGACGGGAGCCCGCACAAGCGGUGGAGCAUGUUGUUUAAUUCGACGAUACGCGAAGAACCUACCAGGUCUUGACAUAGCACGCGAAGGCGUAGAGAUACGUUGGAGG